rnacentral:rRNA from 1 species
UACGUAGGGGGCAAGCGUUGUCCGGAAUCAUUGGGCGUAAAGAGCGUGUAGGCGGCCCGAUAAGUCCGCUGUGGAAAGUCAAAGGCUCAACCUUUGAAUGCCGGUGGAUACUGCAGGGCUAGAGUCCGGAAGAGGCAAGUGGAAUUCCUGGUGUAGCGGUGAAAUGCGUAGAUAUGCGGAGGAACACCGAUGGCGAAGGCAAUCCCCUGGACCUGUACUGACGCUCAUGCACGAAAGCGUGGGGAGCAAACAGG